GAGGGAGGCCCCGGAUCCGGCGAUUUCGCCGGAGCUGGAGGCGGCCGGCGUGGAGCUCGGGAGGGAAGGCGGAGGUUCUGGAGAAAAGGGGGGGGAGGCGAGAGAGGGAGAGAGAAGCGUGAGUAGAGAGAGAGGAAGAUUGACUUGUUUUGUUUUAAUUACCUUUAGGUUUAUUUAAGCUUUGUUUGGGCCUCAUUUCAUAAUAAUCUGAUGGGCUUUUCUUUUCUUCUUUAUGGGCCGAUUUUAAUGAGCUGGUGGGCUGAUUUUAUUAAUUUUCAUGGGAUCUACAUUCUUAAUAUAAUACUUGGGCUGCAUUAUUAAUAACAAGUCUUCAAAUUAUUUUCUUUGGGCUUUAAAUAUUAUUUUGGACCUGUAAAUGUUUUAAUAAAAAUAUUAAUUUUUCUCCCAAGAAGAAGAUUCUAUAUUUUCUUUAAAUGAUUAAUAAUUUUUAGAUUUAGUGUUAAUUAUAUUUGUUAAAAUUACUAAUUAUGUAUUAAAAGUUUAUGGAUUCACAGAGAUUAUUAAUUCGGGCAAAGUGUAUCAAUAGUUAGUGAUUUUCCCCUCUUUAUUUAGAAGUUAGAAUAGCACCAAGAGACCUAUUGAGAAUAGAUUUCUUGUAGGCCUUGAGGACCAGGAGGAUUAGCACUGCUUUCCCGUGACAGGUUUACGAUUAAACUACAGGCUUUGCCUAUUCAGGUUGAUCGGUUGAUGCAGACGGGGCUGAGCUGAGCUAGGCACCACAUUGUCUUUUGCUUCCGCUAAUGACUAGCUUGUCAUCUCGUCUUUUAAAUUCCCUAAACUGAGAAUUUCUAUUAUAUGGUACAAUUGUUGGGUUUAGACUCUUAACCCAUACUCCUAUUAAUGAAGCUAUCAUUGAAUA